ensembl:lncRNA
GAGGAAAUUACAAAUCAAAAGGGGGACUCUUUGAAAACACACUCAGCUCACUGAUCUCAGCUGAUUCAAGUAAACUAAAGGACUCUGUGAUUGGAGCAGACAGGUCUGAUGGAGCCUACAGCAGAUCAGCACAGUUAGAACAGAAGGAGCUGUGACGUCUACACCACAGGAGCAAGAGAGACAGAAAGAAAGAGAAAACUGAGAAAGCAAAAUGAUCUGCAUUACCACAAGACAUGCAUUAUUCGUGCAGCCGAGGCAAACAACAACAGCCACCAGUGUGACGGUUUGUAUUUAUUGUGCCUGUCGUACAUGACCUAAUUAUUAUAGAAC